rnacentral:rRNA from 1 species
UACGGGGGGGGCAAGCGUUGUUCGGAAUUACUGGGCGUAAAGGGCUCGUAGGCGGCCAACUAAGUCAGACGUGAAAUCCCCAGGCUCAACCUGGGAACUGCGUCUGAUACUGGAUGGCUUGAAUCCGGGAGAGGGAUGCAGAAUUCCAGGUGUAGCGGUGAAAUGCGUAGAUAUCUGGAGGAAUACCGGUGGCGAAGGCGGCAUCCUGGACCGGUACUGACGCUGAUGCGCGAAAGCGUGGGGAGCAAACAGG